AUUUAUAAUUUUAUAUUUACUGUAAUUAUUUAGGUAAUCAACGCAAUCAUGCCAAAAAGAGUCAUGCCAACUAACAAGAAGAAACUUGGAGGUACACAACAGGGACGAACCUUUGUGGAAACUUCAGCGAUAUUUGAAUAGGUCAAAUGCUAGCGGAGCCUGCCGUGACAAUCAGGAUUAUAACGACGAAACCAUACAAAAUGACUUGUCUACUGUCCCUGAAAAUGAAACAGAAACAUUAGCACAUCCCAACACAACACUGGUUUUUCCGAAUGAAAUUAAUCCUGAUGAAGACGAACCCAUACACAAUGACUUGUCUACAGUCCCUGAAAAUGGAAUAGGAACAUUAGCACACCCCAGCACAUCACUGGUUUUUCCGAAAGAAGUUAAU